AUGGUCAAGUUACAAAGGGCUCACGGUGGAUACCUUGGCACACAGAGGCGAUGAAGGACGUGGUUACCUGCGAUAAGUCUCGGGGAGCUGGAAACACGCUUUGAUCCGGGAAUUUCCGAAUGGGGCAACCCCUAGAACGGCUAUCUGAAUACAUAGGGUAGCUCGAGCCAACCCAGCGAACUGAAACAUCUUAGUAGCUGGAGGAAAGGAAAGUAAAAACGACUCCCUAAGUAGCGGCGAGCGAACGGGGAUAAGCCUAAACCGAUGUUCUCGAACAUCGGGGUUGUGGGACAGCAACGUGGACCUAUGAAGUUAGGAGAAGCGCUUGAAUGGCGCGCCAUAGAGGGUGAAAGCCCCGUAUCCGAAAAUGGAUUAGGCCUAGCUGUAUCCCGAGUAGCACGGAGCACGUGAAAUUCCGUGUGAAUCCGCGAGGACCACCUCGUAAGGCUAAGUACUACUGUGUGACCGAUAGCGCAACAGUACCGCGAGGGAAAGGUGAAAAGAACCCCGGGAGGGGAGUGAAAUAGAACAUGAAACCGUGAGCUUACAAGCAAUGGGAGUCCGACUAAUCGGAUGACCGUGUGCCUGUUGAAGAAUGAGCCGGCGACUUAUAGGCACUGGCAGGUUAAACCGGGAAUGGUGGAGCCAUAGCGAAAGCGAGUCUGAAUAGGGCGAUAGUCAGUGUUUAUAGACCCGAACCCGGGUGAUCUAACCAUGGCCAGGAUGAAGCUUGGGUGAUACCAAGUGGAGGUCCGAACCGACUGAUGUUGAAAAAUCAGCGGAUGAGCUGUGGUUAGGGGUGAAAUGCCAAUCGAACCCGGAGCUAGCUGGUUCUCCCCGAAAUACGUUGAGGCGUAGCGUCUGGUGCUCCAGCAGGGGGGUAAAGCCACCGUUUCGGUGCGGGCUGCGAGAGCGGUACCAAAUCGAGACGAACUCUGAAUACCCUGUGUGUAGCCAGGCAGUCAGACUGUGGGGGAUAAGCUCCAUGGUCGAGAGGGAAACAGCCCAGACCACCAGCUAAGGUCCCAAAAUUACCGCUGAGUGAUAAAGGAGGUGGGGUUGCCCAGACAACCAGGAGGUUUGCCUAGAAGCAGCCAUCCUCAAAGGAGUGCGUAAUAGCUCACUGGUCGAGCGAUCCUGCGCCGAAAAUGAACGGGGCUAAGGUAAGCGGGCGUGGACUGCAUAGAAGUGAGAAUGUCGGCUUGAGUAGCGAAAAAAUGGGUGAGAAUCCCAUUCCCCGAAACCCUAAGGGUUCCUCCGGCAGGCUCGUCCGCGGAGGGUUAGUCAGGACCUAAGGCGAGGCCGAAAGGCGUAGUCGAUGGACAACAGGUCAACAUUCCUGUACCUGUGAUGUUUUGGGAAGGGGGACGGAGAAGGCUAGCCAAGCCAGAUGUUGGUUACUGGUCCAAGCGUUCGAGGCGUUGAGAGCUGGCGAAAACAGCUUGAGCUGAGGCGUGAGUGCGAGCUGCUACGGCAGCGAAGUUGGUGACGUCAAGCUUCCAAGAAAAGCCCUAUACCCGUUAAGGCAUGACUACCUGUACCCGAAACCGACACAGGUGGGGUGGUAGAGAAUACCGAGGGGCGCGAGGUAACUCUCUCUAAGGAACUCGGCAAAAUGACCCCGUAACUUCGGGAGAAGGGGUGCCAGCGCAAGCUGGUCGCAGUGAAUAGGCCCAGGCGACUGUUUACCAAAAACACAGGUCUCCGCUAAGUCGCAAGACGAUGUAUGGGGGCUGACGCCUGCCCAGUGCCGGAAGGUUAAGGAAGCUGGUCAGCGCAAGCGAAGCUGGCGACUGAAGCCCCGGUGAACGGCGGCCGUAACUAUAACGGUCCUAAGGUAGCGAAAUUCCUUGUCGGGUAAGUUCCGACCCG
rnacentral:rRNA from 1 species